UACAGAGGUCCCAAGCGUUGUCCGGAAUUACUGGGCGUAAAGAGCGCGUAGGUGGUCUUGUACGACCGCUGUGAAAGCCCCCCCGGCUCAACUGGGGAGGGUCAGUGGUAACGGCAGGACUCGGAGUCUAGGAGAGGGAAGUGGAAGCUCCGGGAGUAGCGGUGAAAUGCGUAGAUACCCGGAGGAACACCAGUGGCGAAGGCGGCUUCCUGGCCCUAGGUACUGACGCUGUGGCGCGAAAGCUAGGG
rnacentral:rRNA from 1 species